AGUGAACGCUGGCGGUAGGCCUAACACAUGCAAGUCGAACGGCAGCACAGGAGAGCUUGCUCUCUGGGUGGCGAGUGGCGGACGGGUGAGGAAUACAUCGGAAUCUACCUUUUCGUGGGGGAUAACGUAGGGAAACUUACGCUAAUACCGCAUACGACCUACGGGUGAAAGUGGGGGACCGCAAGGCCUCACGAGGUUAGAUGAGCCGAUGUCCGAUUAGCUAGUUGGCGGGGUAAUGGCCCACCAAGGCGACGAUCGGGAGCUGGUCUGAGAGGAUGAUCAGCCACACUGGAACUGAGACACGGUCCAGACUCCUACGGGAGGCAGCAGUGGGGAAUAUUGGACAAUGGGCGCAAGCCUGAUCCAGCCAUACCGCGUGGGUGAAGAAGGCCUUCGGGUUGUAAAGCCCUUUUGUUGGGAAAGAAAUCCUGUCGAUUAAUACUCGGUGGGGAUGACGGUACCCAAAGAAUAAGCACCGGCUAACUUCGUGCCAGCAGCCGCGGUAACAC
rnacentral:rRNA from 1 species